rnacentral:misc_RNA from 1 species
UGGAAUGCUCUCCACAUCGCAUCGUUCGGGGGUCACCAGGAUAUUGCCCUUUAUCUGAUAUCGACCAAGAGCAGGACUAAAACAAUGUCCACUAGUUCGGACUCCUAAGGUUCUCCCUCUGUGUGUGAAUGUGUGUGAAUGGAAUAUAGGACAUGUCUGGAGAAUUCUGUGAUUAGUAUCAUCUUCAUCACUCUCUUUGAGAACAGAAACAAAACAGAAGUUGGUAAAAGUGGUGUGGCAUUUUCAUUCGCUACCUCAUCAUGUAUACGUACGUCAGGGUGUGUCCCUAACAGGGGUACCCUCGUGUGUCUUGUGUAUGAACGCUUUAGUCUUCGGCCAGUACAGCGCAGUAAAAUGGCGAUACAUCGGAUACUGCAGUGAGAACGGACUGCAGAAGUCCCCUGAUACAUGCUUUGUGAUAUAACUUGUUACUGACUCGGAGUCAACUUUUUUUAUUAUUAUAUUAUUUUGUUGUUAUUACCUUAACCAGUUGUUACAAAAUAUAAUUAUUAUUAAUAGUGUAAAAUAACAGCACUUAUUAAAUAUUUUCCAAAAAUU